rnacentral:rRNA from 1 species
UUGAUCCUGGCUCAGAAUCAACGCUGGCGGCGUGCCUAACACAUGCAAGUCGAACGCGAAAGUCCCGAAAGGGAUUAGUAGAGUGGCAAACGGGUGAGUUACACGUGGGUGACCUGCCUUCGAGCGGGGGAUAACGUCCCGAAAGGGACUCUAAUACCGCAUGACAUCCUGCCUUUGAAGAGGUGGAGAUCAAAGCUGGUGAUCGCAAGACCUAGCACUCGAAGAGGGGCCCGCGCCUGAUUAGCUAGUUGGUGGGGUAACGGCUCACCAAGGCGACGAUCAGUAGCCGGCCUGAGAGGUCGGACGGCCACACUGGGACUGAGACACGGCCCAGACUCCUACGGGAGGCUGCAGUGGGGAAUUGUUCGCAAUGGGCGCAAGCCUGACGACGCAACGCCGUGUGGAGGACGAAGACCUUCGGGUCGUAAACUCCUUUCGAUCGAGACGAAUGGUCUCCGGGUGAACAGUCCGGAGAAGUGACGGUACCGAGAGAAGAAGCUCCGGCUAACUCCGUGCCAGCAGCCGCGGUAAUAAGGU